rnacentral:rRNA from 1 species
CAGCCGCCGCGGUAAUACCGGCGGCCCGAGUGGCGGCCACUAUUAUUGGGCUUAAAGCGUCCGUAGCCGGGUUGGGAAGUCCUCCGGGAAAUCUGGCCGCUUAACGGUCAGAAUUCCGGGAGAUACUGCCAGCCUAGGGACCGGGAGAGGCCGAGGGUAUUCCCGGAGUAGGGGUGAAAUCCUAUAAUCCCGGGAGGACCACCUGUGGCGAAGGCGCUCGGCUGGAACGCGUCCGACGGUGAGGGACGAAGGCCAGGGGAGCAAACCGGAUUAGAUACCCGGGUAGUCCUGGCUGUAAACGAUGCGGACUUUGUGUCGGACAAGCUAUGAGCUUGUCCGGUGCCGGAGGGAAACCGUUAAGUCCGCCGCCUGGGGAGUACGGCCGCAAGGCUGAAACUUAAAGGAAUUGGCGGG